AGUGAACGCUGGCGGCAUGCCUAACACAUGCAAGUCGAACGGUAACAGGCCCGCAAGGGUGCUGACGAGUGGCGGACGGGUGAGGAAUACAUCGGAAUCUGCCCGGUCGUGGGGGAUAACGUAGGGAAACUUACGCUAAUACCGCAUGAGACCGAGAGGUGAAAGCGGGGGAUCGCAAGACCUCGCGCGACUGGAUGAGCCGAUGUCGGAUUAGCUAGUUGGGG
rnacentral:rRNA from 1 species